rnacentral:rRNA from 1 species
GUGCANGAUGAGGGGUACUGUGCGUAUCUUGUAUGUCAAAACAACUCUCGGCAACGGAUAUCUCGGCUCUCGCAUCGAUGAAGAACGUAUCGAAAUGCGAUACUUGGUGUGAAUUGCAGAAUCCCGUGAACCAUCGAGUCUUUGAACGCAAGUUGCGCCCGAACCUUCCGGCC